rnacentral:rRNA from 1 species
AACUUUGAUAAAGAGUACUGCCUGCCCAGUGACAAAAGUUAAACGGCCGCGGUAUUUUGACCGUGCAAAGGUAGCAUAAUCAUUUGUUCUUUAAUUGAGGACUAGAAUGAAAGGCAAGACGAAAACUUAACUGUCUCCUUUUUAAAGAAAGAAAUUAAUGUUUUUGUGAAGAAACAAAAAUAAAAAUGUAAGACGAGAAGACCCUGUCGAGCUUAAGAAAAUUCUUAUAUUAAAAAAAAUUUUUGUUAAACUAAAUUUUACUAAUAAAAUUAAAAAUAAAAAUAUCUUUGGUUGGGGCAACCACGAAGAAAAAAAAACCUUCGUUCAAAAAAAAAAAUAUACUAAUUUAAAAGCUUAAAAAAGAAAAAAGAUCCAGAAAAUACUGAUCAAAGAAAAAAGUUACCGCAGGGAUAACAGCGUUAUUCUCUUUAAGAGCCCGUAUUGACAAGAGAGUUUGCGACCUCGAUGUUGGACCGGGGCAUCCAAGAGGUGUAGCAGCCUCUAAAGGUAGGUCUGUUCGACCUUUAAAGCCCUACGUGAU